rnacentral:siRNA from 1 species
AUACUCGAUCAUAGAACACAUAA